CUAUGACAAAUAUUUUGUCAUGGCGGAAGGAG
ncrna:unclassified sequences L31-Firmicutes ribosomal protein leader